GACGAACGCUGGCGGCGUGCUUAACACAUGCAAGUCGAACGGAGCACCCCUGAAGGAGUUUUCGGACAACGGAAGGGAAUGCUUAGUGGCGGACUGGUGAGUAACGCGUGAGGAACCUGCCUUUCGGAGGGGGACAACAGUUGGAAACGACUGCUAAUACCGCAUGAUACAUUUGGGCCGCAUGGUCUGAAUGUCAAAGAUUUAUCGCCGAAAGAUGGCCUCGCGUCUGAUUAGCUAGUUGGUGGGGUAACGGCCCACCAAGGCGACGAUCAGUAGCCGGACUGAGAGGUUGGCCGGCCACAUUGGGACUGAGAUACGGCCCAG
rnacentral:rRNA from 1 species